UGCAAUUUUUUAGAUGUGCGAAAACCCAUACCAAUCGUGCACCAUCGGAUUGGCCAAAGCAUAUAAUUAUCUUUUAAAACUACAAUUGUGUGCUUUAGCAUAAGAGCUCAUAGCUUGGACCGAAGAGGCUGAAUCAGCCCUUAGCAGGUCAAAGCGGAUGCUCCGGAGCUUCACUUUGGUCUAGACCAAAAAUCCAAAGACUUCGGCCGUUUUGGCCGAAGCGAAACAAAUCUGAUAGCAUUGAUUCCUAAAACAUGAUGGAGGAAAGAAUUAGAUUGCCGAGGUAUGUCCAGAGAGAGGUUAUAACAUGAUCCCAUAUGAGUAUAUUGGAUAUGUGCUCCCCAAAAUGGAUUUUCUUGAUAAAAAAAAUUUGUAUUCGCUUUUAGGAUCGCUGGAUGAGUAUUUGGAAAGGGGAAAGUAUUGAAUUAUGAGUCAAAAUCAUUUAUAUCUGACUGUCUAAAACUUUCUGGGCAUUUGUGAAAUCGUAAAAUAUUAUCCCUUUUUUUUAGCAAAUCUAUAGACCGUGUAGGACCUUUUCUGAGGUAUUAUCAGAGCCAUAAUAGAGUGAGAAGGUUAC
rnacentral:lncRNA from 1 species